CACACAAACACACACUCUCUCUCUCUCUCUCUCUCUCUCUCUCUCUCACACACACACACUCUCUCUCUCUCACACACACACACACACACACACACACACUCACUCUCUCUCUCUCUCUCACACACACACACAAACACUCUCUCUCACACACUCUCUCUCUCUCACACACACACACACACACACACACACACACAAUCUCUCUCUCUCUCCAGCACGACAUACAGCUGCUGGUUUCCUGUUAAUGACAGGAAUUCGCACUCAUAGAACAAGAAACAUCUGGCGGCGACUCUCUGAUGGAUUAAUCGAGUCCUAAAGAAUCGAUUCUUCAAGUAUUUCUUUCUUUCUUUCGCCUUGAAGAGACUCAGACAUCGUGUGAUGGAGCUGCAGACCCGCAGCUCAAACCUGCAGGAUGGGAGGGACCACGCCCUGUUUGGGUGGAGGAAUGAGGGAAGUUUUCCUCUGUGACCUCAGGUUUUGUCUGGACUCUGCUGCAGUGGCCCAAAGCUCUCUCCUACCCCUGUUGGUGGUGGUGAGCGAACAGCAUGUGGGCGAUGAGUCUCAGCUCAGAGAAACCAAAAGAAAAAGAAAUGUAAAAAUACCUUUCCUAUGAUGAUGAAGACUCUGCUGUAGCUCACAGAACACCCAGUGUGUUCUUCUGCUGUUGUUGAGAUGCUUUUCUGCUCACCACGGUUGUAAAGAGUGAUUAUAUGAGUUACUAUAUCCUUCCUGGCAGCUCAAACUGCUCAAUCUGGCCAUUUUCUGAUCUCUGACCCUCUCUUAUCAACAAGGCAUUUGUUUCCACCCACAGAACUGUCACUCACUCACUCAGUGUUUUCUGCACCAUUCUGUGUAAACUCUAGAGACUGUUGAUUGUGUGUGAAAACCCCAGGAGGAGAUCAGCAGCUUCUGAAAUACUAAGAGCAAAAAUACUCAUCUGGCUCAAAGCAACACCCAUACCACAGUGAAAGAAAGUCACUCUGAGAUCACAAUCCCAUUCUGAAGUUUGAACAUUGUGAACAUUAACUGAAGCUCUUGAUUUGUAUUUGUGGGAUUUGGUGCCCCGUGAUUGGCUGAUUACAGAACUGCAUCAAAUAAAAUAGGAGGAUGUAUAGGUGUUCCUAAUAAAGUGGCCAGUGAGUGUGCAUGCAUGCAGUUGCUCCUGGUUUGUGGGUUUUACCAUCAUAAACUAUCCGGGGUAAAUAAAAUAUUAGUGCAGCCUGUGUGUACAGCUCAGGGUGGGAGGAGUCAGCUGAUGACAUCACAGUAAACCAGCUCUAGGAUCAUGCUCUAAAUGAAGCUCUCAUGUUUGGUUUUUUGUUUUGUUUUAUUUUCAUAUAUAUUUUACUGUGAAAAGCCUCUCGGGUGCAGGACGUGUCAGUAUUUACACCGUCAACACAUACACAGGUAUGUACAGAAUCUUCAAACCUGGACAUGUUUUAUUUCAGUCAAACAAAACGGACUGCGGAAAAAAUUCCUAUAAUUGGUUUGG